rnacentral:tRNA from 1 species
GCGCCUGUAGCUCAGUGGAUAGAGUGCAUGUUUCCUAAGUUGAAGGUUGUAGGUUCGAUCCCUACCUGGUGCG